GACGAACGCUGGCGGCGUGCUUAACACAUGCAAGUCGAACGAAGAGCGAUGGAAGCUUGCUUCUAUCACUCUUAGUGGCGAACGGGUGAGUAACGCGUAAUCAACCUGCCCUUCAGAGGGGGACAACAGUUGGAAACGACUGCUAAUACCGCAUACGAUCCAAUCUCGGCAUCGGGACUGGAUGAAAGGUGGCCUCUAUUUAUAAGCUAUCACUGAAGGAGGGGAUUGCGUCUGAUUAGCUAGUUGGAGGGGUAACGGCCCACCAAGGCGAUGAUCAGUAGCCGGUCUGAGAGGAUGAACGGCCACAUUGGGACUGAGACACGGCCCAGACUCCUACGGGAGGCAGCAGUGGGGAAUCUUCCGCAAUGGACGAAAGUCUGACGGAGCAACGCCGCGGGAGUGAUGACGGCCGUCGGGUUGUAAAGCUCUGUUAAUCGGGACGAAUGGUUCUUGUGCGAAUAGUGCGAGGAUUUGACGGUACCGGAAUAGAAAGCCACGGCUAACUACGUG
rnacentral:rRNA from 1 species